UGCCCCUGGCAUUGGGCAAAGAGACACCAUGUUGAUGAUGGUGUUCUUAUAUCAGUCGGGGACAGAGCAGGUGGCAGUCUUUUGACUAGUCUAGCUUGAUGCCUGGCUUGGUGGCCAAGCUGUUUUAUGACUAGGACUCAAAU